rnacentral:rRNA from 1 species
CCUACGGGUGGCAGCAGUGAGGAAUAUUGGUCAAUGGGCUUACGCCUGAACCAGCCAAGUCGCGUGAGGGAAGACUGCCCUAUGGGUUGUAAACCUCUUUUGUCAGGGCGCAAUUGGCGCUACGUGUAGCGUUAUCUAGAGUACCUGAAGAAAAAGCAUCGGCUAACUCCGUGCCAGCAGCCGCGGUAAUACGGAGGAUGCGAGCGUUAUCCGGAUUUAUUGGGUGUAAAGGGAGCGUAGACGGUUAUGUAAGUCUGGAGUGAAAGCCCGGGGCCCAACCCCGGGACUGCUUUGGAAACUGUGUAACUGGAGUACAGGAGGGGCAGGCGGAAUUCCUGGUGUAGCGGUGAAAUGCGUAGAUAUCAGGAGGAACACCGGCGGCGAAGGCGGCCUGCUGGACUGAAACUGACGUUGAGGCUCGAAAGCGUGGGGAGCAAACAGGAUUAGAUACCCUAGUAGUC